CCUCCUCCUCUUUCCUCCCUUCCUCCCCCUUUUUUUUCUCUUUUCUUUCGUCUAAAACGUUCGUAGCCGGUUCGGUAAAUCUUUGGGUAAAUCGGGGGGCUUAACCUUCCGACUUCCGAGGAGACUGCCGAACUUGGGACCGGGAGAGGCUAGAGGUACUUCUGGGGUAGGGGUAAAAUCCUGUAAUCCUAGAAGGACCACCGGUGGCGAAGGCGUCUAGCUAGAACGGAUCCGACGGUGAGGGACGAAGCCCUGGGUCGCAAACGGGAUUAGAUACCCCGGUAGUCCAGGGUGUAAACGCUGCAGACUUGGUGUUGGGGGCCCUUUGGGGGCAUUCAGUGCCGGAGAGAAGUUGUUAAGUCUGCUACUUGGGGAGUACGUCCGCAAGGAUGAAACUUAAAGGAAUUGGCGGGGGAGCACCGCAACGGGAGGAGCGUGCGGUUUAAUUGGAUUCAACACCGUAAAACUCACCAGGGAAGACUGUUACAUGAAGGCCGAGAUGAAGACUCUGCUAGAUUUUCAGAGAGGAGGUGCAUGGCC
rnacentral:rRNA from 1 species